rnacentral:rRNA from 1 species
AUUGAACGCUGGCGGCAUGCCUUACACAUGCAAGUCGAACGGCAGCGCGGGGCAACCUGGCGGCGAGUGGCGAACGGGUGAGUAACAUAUCGGAACAUACCCUAGAGUGGGGGGAUAACGUAGCGAAAGUUACGCUAAUACCGCAUACGCACUAAGGUGGAAAGUGGGGGGAUCUUCGGACCUCAUGCUCAUGGAGUGGCCGAUAUCUGAUUAGCUAGUUGGUGAGGUAAAGGCUCACCAAGGCGACGAUCAGUAGCUGGUUUGAGAGAACGACCAGCCACACUGGAACUGAGACACGGUCCAGACUCCUACGGGAGGCAGCAGUGGGGGAAUUUUGGACAAUGGGGGCAACCCUGAUCCAGCAAUGCCGCGUGAGUGAAGAAGGCCUGG